rnacentral:rRNA from 1 species
CCGCCGCUACCGCAGUAAGUACGCCGCCUGGGAAGUACGCACGUAAGAGGGAAACUAAAAGGAAUUGACGAGGACCCGAACAAGUGGCGGAGCAUGUGGUUUAAUUCGACGCAACGCGAAGAACCUUACCUAAGCUCGACAUCCCAAUCACAUCUCCUUAAUCGGAGAGGUCCAUUCGGGGACAUUGGUGACAUGUGGUGCAUGGUUGUCGUCAGCUCGUGUCGUGAGAUGUUGGGUUAAGUCCCGCAACGAGCGCAACCCUUGUCUUUAGUUGCCAUCAUUAAGUUGGGCACUCUAGAGA